UUCCAGUUUCUACAACGAAAUAGCUCGACUAAUCAUCUGUUUAUAGAAUUGAUGUUCGAAAUCGUGAUUUUUGAGUGAACUUCAUUGGAGCAGAAAAUCUUGGAGGGAACAUCAAUAAUAAUCUACUGACAUUCCAUGAGAAUAAAAAUCCAAUAGGACCAAGAUUUUAGCAGUUCACACCCGGUCAGAGGGACAAAAUUGAGAACCAUGCAGAUCAGCAAGUGUGGGUUACACUCUAAUGAGGAACAGGAUAUCUGAAUUGGAAAAUUGCAAGGUUUCCCACUGCCCAAGCUGUUUAAGUACUGGUAUCACAACAAGUACCAAGAUGGAAGAUAUAUGAAGGCCAAGCUAAUAAGUAGUUACUUCAAAUUAAUUUGAAUAGAUAUAUCAACAAAGCAGUGAAUGUUCUUUAAACUGCACAUCUGUAGAAAAGAGUUCAGGUUCAUCAGCGGGCAAUGACAUUAAAGUAUACAAAAUUUCACACAAAAUACAAGAAAGAAAUAUUUUUUUUUCCAAUGGGCAAAUGUAUCACCUUUUAUUAAUAUUUAAUAUUUCUACUAGUUCUUAGAAGUUUUUGUGAAAUUAAAUAUAAUUUCCAGUUUAAAGGACUAUUGUAUACAAGACAAAAAUUUAUAUUUUGAAAUAAAAAUCAUGCGUAGAUAAAUGUUAAUAAAGGUGAUCAGAGGAUUAAGAAAUAAUUUUAGUAUCACUCCUGGACCUCAUUCCAUAAACAAGUUAUUACUAUUGUAAUCUUGUCACUAUGACAAUUACCAUGGUAACAGGGCUGAGCAAGAAAUCAAGGUCUUUAUGGUAGCUGCAAUGGGCUUGGACAAAGUUACCAUAAUUGCAAGUCGUCAUGAUAAUGGCUCAAUUAUGUAGGGAUAUUAAAUUGCAUUUAUUGUUAUCUUACUCAAAGUUUUGAAAUGGGUUUCCUCUGCAAAAAUAUAUAAAUAGACUAUAUUUUUAAAAAUAGAUUGAAUUCUACCCACAGUGACAGUAGACAAUAUCAAAUUUUGUUAGUGAUUCACUGACUUGGAAAGGCACUGUUUAGGGAGAUUCUUGAAUUAUGCCCCCCCCCCUUUUUUUUAUGUGGAGUGCUCUCACAUUAGUAGAAUAUUUCUUGUCCGCA